AUUUUGCUGUUGCUUUAUGGAGUUAAGG
rnacentral:piRNA from 1 species